rnacentral:rRNA from 1 species
AUUGAACGCUGGCGGUAUGCUUAACACAUGCAAGUCGAACGGCAGCACAGCAGAGCUUGCUCUGUGGGUGGCGAGUGGCGGACGGGUGAGUAAUACAUCGGGACCUACCCAGACGUGGGGGAUAACGUAGGGAAACUUACGCUAAUACCGCAUACGUCCUACGGGAGAAAGCAGGGGAUCUUCGGACCUUGCGCGGUUGGACGGACCGAUGUUCGAUUAGCUUGUUGGUGAGGUAAUGGCUCACCAAGGCGACGGUCGAUAGCUGGUCUGAUAGGAUGUUGCGCCACCCUGGGACUGGGACACGGCCCAGACGCCUGCGGGAGGCAGCAGUGAGGAAUAUUGGACAAGGGGCGCAAGCCUGAGCCAGCAAUACCGCGUGUGUGAAGAAGGCCUUCGGGUUGUAAAGCACUUUUCUCAGGAACGAAACGCUGUCGGUUAAUACCCGGCGGAACUGACGGUACCUGAGGAAUAAGCACCGGCUAACUUCGUGCCAGCCGCCGCCGUAA